rnacentral:rRNA from 1 species
AUGAUAGGAAAAAUCGCAGGCGCUGAAAAAAAUACUUCACGGGCCGAAUCUGAGGAAGCCCAACAACGAGGAAGAGAAAAGAGGAGGGGCGCUGGGGUCGGCUCACCCUUGGGCCUUGGAGGCGCGGCCCAAAAUGAAGAGGACGGAGGCCGAGGCGAGGCCGGUUGGGGAGGUCGGACGCGGGCCAGCUGGAGCCUGGCGCGGCUGGGCUUGGGUCUUGACUCGAUCGAACGAGGAGGAGAAGGGGGCACGGUCAACGCUCGAGGACGAGCGGGCGAGCGGGCGCCUCAUCCUAGAAGAAGCAGAGGACACAGGCAGAGGCAGGUGUUCGGCGGCGCUCCUCCGCGCGGAUCGGGACGACGGCGAUGGCUUGGCGUGUCUCCGGCGAAGGAGGGAGGCGGAUCCCAUCGGAGAUGGAAGGAUCCGGGCGGUGGGGGCCGGAUCCCGCCGGAUCCGUCGUCGGAGCAGGGCGGCAGCAGGGAGCCAACGACGAACUCCAUGGCGGUGGCGGCGAGGAGCACUGCAGGGGAGAGGAGAGAGGUAAGGGAGAGGCAGGGAUAUGAAGAGGAGGGCGGCGGAGCUGUCCUGAGGCUCGGCAGCGGCGGAGAUGACCGACUGGGCUGCCACUCGGGUUGGCGUGGCAGCGAGGCAAAGGAGCUCGUGCCCCUUGGCGACGGGAGGCUCGGGCACGGCGUCGCUGCACCGACGGGAGCAGGCGUGGCUCGCAGAUCGAGGAGGGCCAAGGGGAGCUCCUCGCUCGGGCGUCGGGUGAGCACGGGGAUGGAGGUGAGGGGGCCGGCCUGGAGCUUUGCCAAAGACGUCCGGGCACAGCUGCGCUGGAUCUGCUGCUGCUUGCGGCACGGGGACGAGGACGAGGGAGCUCGUGCUCCUGCCGGGCUCCGGCGAGGCUGGCUCGUGGUCGCUGCGGGACAGCUGGAUCCAGGGCCUCGGUGGGAUUGGUUGGCUGGAAAUGACUGCGCGAGAGGAUUGGGCAGAUGGAUCGGGAUGGAUCCCGAGGUGAAAGAGGACUGGCGGCGGCGGCUGGGAGGAUGGGACAAGAGCCCUCGGUUUUAG